AGCGGCUUGUGUGGUCGGCGGUCCGGCAGGGUGGCAGCGGCGGCGUCGCGGGGACCCAGCCCGGAUCUGGAGAGUCCCCUGUAUUCAGGGAGUCACCUUCAGGGCUUCCUCACAUUUUGAGAACUUGCACACAGCACUUCCCCAACACCCGGACGGUCCCCGCAGCCCUCAGCGAGCAGAAACUACCUUCUAGGCUCACAAGGUAAUCGUCAGGGCUGCCCCCAGCCUUGCGAAUUUCCCCACUCUGAGGGGAAAUUUUCUUCCUGCUGACUCCCUCAUGCUCCUGGAAACCCAACGUCUUCUAGAUCAAAAGUUUCACUUUCAAGUCCUCUGGAUUCCUCCCUGAUACAUAAGUGACAAGCAAUAGGAGAUAUUGGCGUAUAUGAGGAAGCCAUUUGGUGUAAAACUAAUUCGGCCUGACCUUGUUUUUCCAAAAGGGCCUGCCAUGGCUGUGGAGCAUGCGUUGUAGAUCUGCUUUAAGAUUUGGUAUGUCCCAAAGACAAGAACAAAUGCCCUUAAGAUAAGGAUGUAACUCUCCCCACACUGGCAUUUCCUUAAGGAUAAGCAUCUCUCCCUGGGCUAGGGACUCAUUGCUCUGCUCACCUGUGACCACCCAGCUGGAGACAGCAGACCUGCUACCUGCUGUGCCCAUCAAUCUACAGGGCAAUCUCGUGACUGUUGUAAAAGGGACAUUCCUAUCAUAUGUGAUGUAUGCUCUUUGUUCCAUGACUAUACAAACACUUUGUACACCCUACUUCUUUUGUACCGUUCCUUCCUUGGAGAAGGAAGGUUCCAGGCUAGUCCUCAGAUCUGGCUCAUAAUAAACUCACUCCAAUUUUGAUUUAUAGAUUGCUUAUGGGUUAUUUGCUUUGACAUCCCAUUCUUCCAACUGCCAGUUUUCCCUUCCUCCCGCAGUCACUCUCUUAAAAGCCCCCCUUCUUCAAUUUCCACCGUCAUUGCCGCCCACUCUCAGGCACCCCGGGUCAUCCUCAGCAUCCAGGCCAUCACUCUUAGGCUCUCCUGUGCCUCCUCCCUCAGCAGCGUAACCUCCUGGGCUCUC
rnacentral:lncRNA from 1 species